UGCGCCUUGCCAGCCCGCUCAGAAACUUAAAGGAAUUGACGGGGGCCCGCACAAGCGGUGGAGUAUGUGGUUUAAUUCGAUGCAACGCGAAGAACCUUACCUGGUCUUGACAUCCCGGAGACCCUUAGGAAACUAGGGGGUGCUUCCAUCUGGAAGAAUCUGGAGACAGGUGCUGCAUGGCUGUCGUCAGCUCGUGUCGUGAGAUGUUGGGUUAAGUCCCGCAACGAGCGCAACCCUUGCCUUUAGUUGCCAGCAGUUCGGCUGGGCACUCUAAAGGGACUGCCGGUGUUAAACCGGAGGAAGGUGGGGAUGACGUCAAGUCCUCAUGGCCUUUAUGACCAGGGCUACACACGUACUACAAUGGCCGAUACAAAGGGCAGCGACACUGCGAGGUGAAGCCAAUCCCGUAAAAUCGGUCUCAGUCCGGAUUGGAGUCUGCAACUCGACUCCAUGAAGUUGGAAUCGCUAGUAAUCGCGGAUCAGAACGCCGCGGUGAAUACGUUCUCGGGGUUU
rnacentral:rRNA from 1 species